CCGAUGUAGGAGAUAAAUCUCUGGGCUCCCGAAAUGUUUUUCAUUUUAAAAGUUCAAGUCAUCACUCAACAUGGGCCAGAGAAUACUAAGACCUUUGACAGUGAACCUCUUACAGGAUGGAGAAGCUGAGGCCUUAACUCACAAGGUUGUGCCUUUAUAAGGCAACAAAGCAAAAGCAAGUGUGUCAUAGAUGGAAACCUGUUUACCUAGAUCUCACCGACCUGUUGAGAGGAAAGGAGCCAACCUGGCCUGGUGACCUUCUCUGUGCAAGCAGGGAGCAGGCACACACCACCAAUGAGUGAAGAAGGCUGCUGUGGCAUGCUCGGGACCUAGAGGGAACCUGCCUCAUUGACAGGGGACAGCAGCUGCACAGCUCCAGACAAUCGUUGUCAAGGACGGGAAUGAGAUUCUAACAUGGCUGAUCUGAUUUUUCAAGAAAGGUGAAAGACCCAAAUUCAUGGAAGAGAAGUGAGUCACACAGGGAGCCAGUGGCAGAGCCACACCCCACAGAGCAAUCAACAUGCUCUACUCUGCAGACCUGCAACAGGGAGGGAAGCCAGACUCUGAUGCAAGAAGGAAAGACCAUGUGCUGGCUCAGUGUGUGCAGCCUGGACUGAGCUACUGAACUCUAAAUCCAAGGAUGACUAAUAGGCAGAAUGACAUUAAUACCAGACCUGAUGAAGACAGCACAAAAAGUAAAUCUCAACACAACCUCACAAUAUUAAUAAAGCAAAAAUUUUAAAUACAGUAAUGUAUUAGCAAACAGAACUCCAUGGUACACCAUGACCAAAUGAGGACAUGUAAGAAUGGCUUAAUAUCUGAAAAUAUAUUAGUAUAAUUUAUCAUAAUGCCAAGUCAAAGAAGACAAACCAUAUCACCAUGUCCGUAAAUGCAGAAAGGGUAUUUGGGGGGGAAAAAAACAUCAAAAUGUAAAUGCUAAAACACUAGAAAUAGCAAAUCUGAAAGUACUGACCACUGCAAUUAGACAGGAAAAUGACAUCAGGAGUCUAAAAAUUGCAAACAGGAAAUAACAUAAGAAAACUAAAUAUCAGAAAAAGAGGAGCAAUAUUAGAAUUACAGGCAGAUGGAACAAUUGUAUAUUCCUUAUAAACAUAAAGAAUCAAAAUUUUAAAGAAAUUAUUAGAAAUAAUAAGAGAAGUUGGUAACUGGAGGCAAAUAAAUAUACAAAAUUCAAAAGCAUUUUUAUUAAGUAUAAAUAAUACCCAGUUAAAAAACAACAAAAGAAAAGAUUCCUUGUACAAUAUCAACAACAAAAAAAAAACAGGUAAAAUACUUUGGAAUAAAUUUAACAAGAACUGCAAAAAUGAUCUUACAGCUCAACUGAAAGUGAUGAAAGUCUUCAACAGAUGCAAUCUUGCUUCUAGAUAGAAAAUCUCAAUAUUUUACGCCAGGCGUGGUGGCUCACAUCUGUAAUCCUAGCACUUUGGGAGACCAAGGCGGGCGGAUCACCUGAGAUCAGGAAUUUAAGACCAGCCUGGCCAAUAUGGUAAAACCCCAUCUUUACUAAAAAAUACAAAAAUUAGCCAGGUGUAGUGGCACGUGCCUGUAAUCCCAGCUACUCAGGAGGCUGAGGCACAACCAUCACUUGAACCCGGGAGGUGGAGGUUGCAGUGAGCCAAGAUCACACCACUGUACCCCAGCCUGGACGACAGAACAGACUCUGUCAAGAAAGAAAAGAAAGAAAAGAAAGAAAAGAAAGAGAGAGAGAGAGAGAGAGAGAGAAAGAAAGAAAGAGGGAAAGAAAGAAAGAGGGAAAGAAAGAAAGAGGGAAAGAAAGAAAAUCUCAAUAUUUUAAAGACGUAGCAUCUCCUCAAAUUGAAAUCUAUAAAUUUAUGUAAUCCAAGUAAACAGUAACAGUAGUAAAAUAUCCACAUACAUAUGGUUAUAUAUAAUAAGGUUAAUUUAUAUAUAGGGUUAUAUAUAACAUUUUAUAUAUAUAUAACAUAUAUAAAUAUAUAUAUUUACCUGCAAAAGUGAAAUGCAAGAAUGGGUAAGGAGUGAAAGGAAUGAGAGAAGAAUAAUUUACACAGAUAUAAAGAUGUGUAACAAAGCUGUAACUGAAAGAAUUUGGUAUACAAUAACAAAAAACAGUCAGUUCAAUAGAAGAAAAGAGAGAACAGAAGUAGACUGAAACCCAUAUGGAAAUGCAGUAGCUUUUUUAAAGGUUGUAUGUCAAGUCAGAGAGGGAAAAGAUUAAUAAAUGAUCUUAGAACACCUGACAAACUGCCAUUCAAAAACAAAUAAACUUGGAUUCCCAGCUUGCUCUUCACACAGAGACAAAUUCCAAAUGAAUCAAAAUUGUAACAUAUAAAACACAAUCAUAAAAGCACCAGAAGAAAACAUAAAUUUAGGGUGGGAGAUGGCCUUAAUUUUUAAAGUCAAAUGUAUCAAUAUUUUCCCUCAUGCCUUGUGGAGUCCAUGAUUAAUUUGAGUUAAAGCAAAAGUUAGAAAUAUUGUAGAAUGAAAAAAGCAGUUACACCAUAAACAAAACCAAAAGGCAAAGGACGACUGAGGAAAUAACAAACAAGGGAGAAAAACUAAGUCUGUAGCUUUGGGAGGUAGCAACACAAAUCAGGAGGAAGGAACAAAUGGUCCAGCCAGAUAAGAAUUUUUCCAGAAAAGAACCAAUGAUCAAACAGGCA
rnacentral:lncRNA from 1 species